CCAAUUAAUCCUUACUAGCUUUGUACUAAUAUUGCAAUACUUGUGUUCUCCCUUCAACUGGUGGAUUUAGGUUAUAGAGCAGGUGCGAUCACACCUACUUUGGACACGAGUGGAAACAAUAAUAGUUAAAGUAAGUAUUUAUAUAUCAAGAAACGAAAUUUGAUAUCAGCUGGUUCGAUACGUACCUCGAUGGUUUUGUGCAGACAUGGAAGGCCAAAUAAAACUAGGUAAAUGCCACAAUAAACUUGGGCAUUUCUUUACUAGUAAAUAAAUUUAAUUUGCUAGUACCUUUAUAAAGCAAGAAUAAAAUUGAUGAAGAAUGAAACCAAAAAAACCGGUAUUGUCAACUCUACGGAUGAGAAUAGUCCCCACCCACAUUGAAAAUGCUACUAUGUCUUUUGGCGCCAUUUUCUCAUCUUUCUUUGAAACUUUGUCCACAAACUAAAUCCUUUUCAACUAUAAUUGACCCUCAUCCUUCACGCAAUACCUGUAAUACCACUGGCAUGGCAUGUCUGCUAUAGGGGCUACUUUCUUCCAAGGUCUAUAAUGGGAAUUGUACCAAUUCCAUGAUAGAUAAUGAGAGAUGAUAAUACAUAAUGCAAUUAUUACGGGGCCAGAUAUUGUUGAUUAUAUGCUCUUAUGAGGGAAAAAAUUUAACUUACAGAAGCAAAGAAAAGAGCAAAAAACAUGUCUUUCUAUUGUUUGCUUCAUUAGGAAAUAGUUUAAGGGAAAACAAAUGAAAAUGGUUGAGGCCCGUAAAAGAUUCGAUCACUCAUGGUGGAUGACAUGUUGAUCUUGAUAAUGAACAACCCUCUACUGUAAACAAUAUGUCCACUUAAAAGAAGGAGCUUCUUUCCUCUGCUAUGAAGAGGACCUCUGAAUGGAUUUUCUCCCAAGAGAUCCCAAGUGAUGUAACUGUAAAUGCAGGAGGAAUCUCCUUUACACUGCACAAGUUCCCAUUAGUUUCAAAGAGUGGAUACAUAAGGAAGUUGGUCUCGGAAUCCAAUGAUGCUGACAUUUCUACAAUUGAAAUCCCUGAUAUACCCGGUGGAGGAGAGGCAUUUGAAUUUGCAGCAAAGUUUUGUUAUGGAAUAAAUUUUGAGAUGAGCACAGAAAACAUUGCCUUGCUGAGAUGUGUGGCGGAAUAUCUUGAGAUGACAGACUAUGCAGUUGCAAAUUUGGUGGGAAGAACUGAGGCCUACUUUAGUGAAGUAGCAAUUAAGAGCAUUGCUGGUGCAGUUACAAUUUUGCAUUCAUCAGAAAAUCUUAUUCCCAUUGCAGAGAAAGUAAAAUUGGUGAGUCGAUGCAUAGACACAAUUGCAUAUAUAGCCUGUAAGGAUAACCAAUUCUCCACAUCAGGUAGAGCAGAAGCUGGUAUCAACGGAUUGACUUCAUCCAUGUUUUCAAACCCAAAGCCUAUAGUUGACUGGUGGUCUGAGGAUUUAACCGUUCUUAGAAUUGAUUUUUUCCAAAGGGUUCUGAUUGCAAUGAUGGGAAGGGGAUUCAAGCAGUAUGCACUUGGACCAAUAUUAAUGCUGUAUGCACAGAAGUCUCUUCGAUGUUUGGAAAUAUUUGGAAAGGGAAGGAAAAAGAUUGAACCAAAACAAGAACAUGAAAAAAGGGUUGUUUUAGAAACCAUCGUUGGUCUUCUGCCAAGGGAGAAAAAUGCAUUGUCCGUUAGCUUUCUGUCAAUGCUGCUCCGAGCUGCAAUAUAUCUGCAGACCACGAUUGCUUGCAGGCUCGACUUGGAGAAGAGGAUGGCAUUGCAGCUUGGACAGGCUGUAUUGGAUGAUCUGUUAAUUCCUUCAUAUUCCUUCACAGGGGACACUUUGUUUGAUGUUGAAACCAUGCAGCGUAUUAUGAUGAAUUUCCUUGACCAUGAUAUGGAGGAAAAUCGAUUGGGAGAUGAAGAGUAUAAUGAGUCUCAUUCAUUAAGAGACAUGGAGCGGGUUGGGAAACUUGUGGAAAAUUACCUUGCUGAAAUAGCUUCUGACCGUAAUCUAUCCAUCACAAGCUUCAUUAAUCUUGCUGAAGUCAUUCCAGAGCAAGAAAGAAUCACUGAAGAUGGGAUGUACAGGGCAAUUGACAUUUAUUUUAAGGCACAUCCAGCUCUAAGCGACAUGGAAAGGAAAAAGGUUUUGCGGUGUUAUGGACUGUCAAAAGCUCUGUCGAGAAGCUUGUGCUCAUGCUGCUCAGAAUGAUAGGCUCCCUGUUCAGACAGUUGUGCAAGUGUUUUACUAUGAGCAGCAACGUCUUCGCAAUGUCAUGGACGGGAGCCAUCUUGUAGCAACCAAACCUCCUGUUCUUGUCCCUUCCAAAAUGAAUCAUCAGUUCUCUACUGACCCAAUUUCAGACGAGGUCUCGAGUCUAAAACGAGAAAAUCAGGAGCUGAAAUUUGAGAUGUUGAAAAUGAAGACGAGGUUGACGGAAAUUGAAAAACCGAAUUCAAACAGAUAAGUUACAAGCAGCCCUUUGGUCAUCACUCAUCCAUCUGCUGGUAAACCUCCUUUGACAAGAAAAUCUAACUUCAUGAGCUCAGUCUCGAAAAAGCUCGGAAGAUUUAUUCGAGCUGAUGGACUCGCGCAAGGCAAAACUCAAAAUAAACCAAGCAAAGAUAGACGUCAUUCCAUAUCAUGAUUUGAGCUAGCUAUAUUUGUAUUAUUGUCUAAAUAUGGUACGUACUGGAUUCAAAAUUUAU